CAGAGCCCGGCCCUUAACCAUCUCCUCUCCAGGAGCCACAGCAAGCUUCCAGCCAACGCCCACCGGGGUGACUCCCCCCUGGGUCCAGGGGGUUGAAUGGUGGCCGCCAAAGAUAUAACCAAGUCCCAACUCCCAGGGCCUGUGACUGCGAACCUAUUUGGAAAGAAGGUGCUGUGGAUGCUGGGUCAGCCUCCUGAUUACGUCAAGGGAGAAGAGACUGGGUCUUUCUCGCGGCUCCAUCACGACCAUUCUCUAGGUAGCGGAGGCAGGGCGCCCGGGCCGCAAAGCUACCGCUGAGACAACCAGCUGGCAAGGCAGAGCGUCCAGCAGCUACACUGUAGCCAGUGUUUUCUGUUCCUGUAUCUUUCGAGUUAGCUGCUCUUUAUUACAAGUGAGGAUGACUUUUUAA